CUCUUCAUAUCCAAGGAGUUGGACAUUCAUCUGGUGCAAGAAAAAGGCAUGGUGAUGCCUGGAAUAGAAGGCUGCAGGACAUCUUCGAUAGGCUGCUACUCUAAUUUUAGAAGGAGUUCUGAAGCACUUCCAAAUCAGAUAGAGAUCUAAUUUUUGAAGCAUAAAUUCAUGAGGAGAAGAUAUUCUAGGUCCUAUCUGAGUGGAUAUCGAUAGAGGCCAGAUGCUUACGUGGCUACAUCAGAA
rnacentral:lncRNA from 1 species